CUCUUUAGCUUGGCAUUUGAAUCGGCUUUGCUGUUGCGAAGUAGAGUGGCGGCUUCGGCUGCCGAGGGUCGAUCCAUUUGGGAAAUGUUGUGUACUUCGGUAUGCAUCUCAAUUGGACCUGAUAUCAGGCAAGAUUACCCGCUGAACUUAAGCAUAUUAAUAAGCGGAGGAAAAGAAACUAACAAGGAUUCCCCUAGUAACGGCGAGUGAAGCGGGAAGAGCUCAAGCUUAAAAUCUCCGUGCAAGUUUUGCGCGGCGAAUUGUAGUCUAUAGAGGCGUGAUCAGUGUGGGCGCUUGGGGCAAG